rnacentral:rRNA from 1 species
UUACAGAGUUAUCAAAACUCCCAAACCCAUGUGAACAUACCUCGCGUUGCCUCGGCAGGUGGCGUCUCGCCCCGUAAGAACCUACCCUGUAGGACCUUACCCGGUAGACGACCCUGCCGACGGCCCCCGAAACUCUGUUUUAUAGCAUUAAACUUCUGAAAAUAUAACUAAAUAAGUUAAAACUUUCAACAACGGAUCUCUUGGUUCUGGCAUCGAUGAAGAACGCAGCGAAAUGCGAUAAGUAAUGUGAAUUGCAGAAUUCAGUGAAUCAUCGAAUCUUUGAACGCACAUUGCGCCCACUAGUAUUCUGGUGGGCAUGCCUGUUCGAGCGUCAUUUCAACCCUUAAGCCCCUGUUGCUUAGCGUUAGGAGCCUACCGGAACUCUCUGGUAGCUCCCCAAAGUCAGUGGCGGAGCCGGUUCGCACUCCAGACGUAGUAGCUUUUACACGUCGCCUGUAGCGCGGGCCGGUCCCCUGCCGUAAAACACCCCAAUUUUUAUAGGUUGACCUCGGAUCAGGUAGGAAUACCCGCUGAACUUAAGCAUAUCAAUAAGCGGAGGAAAAGAAACCAACAGGGAUUGCCCUAGUAACGGCGAGUGAAGCGGCAACAGCUCAAAUUUGAAAUCUGGCCUUCGGGUCCGAGUUGUAAUUUGCAGAGGAUGCUUUUGGCGCGGUGCCUUCCGAGUUCCCUGGAACGGGACGCCUUAGAGGGUGAGAGCCCCGUACGGUUGGA